ensembl:snRNA U6 U6 spliceosomal RNA
CUGGGUUCAAUCCCCAGCACCAAAAACAAAGCAAAACAACAGAGAAGAAUAGCAUAACUCCUGCGCAAGGAUGAUGAUGAGCAAAUUCAUGAAGCCUUCCAUAUUAAA